GCUUGGCCGAGUACUCGGUCAGGCUGCUUUUGGCCAUGACCGGAUUCUAGAGACAAUGCGGGGAACCCCGACAUGACAGCAUCGAGAAUUCUCGCCGGCGCGAGCGGCUAUUCGUUCAAGGAGUGGAAGGGCGCGUUCUAUCCCGACGCGCUCAAGGCCGAAGAGAUGCUCGCGUUCUACGCGUCGCGGUUACCGACGGUCGAGAUCAACAACACGUUCUACCGGAUGACGAAGACGUCCGUGCUCGAAUCGUGGGCAAGCCAGGCGCCCGCGGGGUUCCGCUUUGCCAUCAAGGCGUCGCGCCGGAUCACGCACAUCGCGCGACUCAAGACGGAAUCGGCCGCGGAGCCCGUCGGCUACCUGUAUCGCGGCCUGGCGGCGCUGGGGGAGAAGCGCGGUCCCGUGCUGUUCCAGCUGCCGCCGAACCUCAAGAAGGACCUGCCGCGGCUGGAGGCGUUUCUCGGCCUUCUGCCCGACGAUCAUCGUGCCGCGUUCGAGUUCCGCAACGACACGUGGUUCGCCGACGACGUCUACGCCGCGCUCAGGGACGCCGGCGCGUCGCUGUGCCUGUCCGAGCGCGAGGACAACGCGCCGCCGCCGCUGGUCGAGACGGCGCCGUGGGGCUACGUCCGGCUGCGGCUCGAAACGUACACGGAUGCCGAUCUGACGGCGUGGGCGCGGCGCCUCGAAGCGACGUCGUGGCGGCAGAUCCAUGUCUAUUUCAUGCACGAGCCGACGGCGCCGGCCUACGCCAAGGCUUUGAUGGAAUUCGCUUCCGGUUAGCCACAACGGGCGCCGCCGGGGGUCGGCGACGGGCACCUUCCUGCGAUAUUUUUCGAGGAACCUGUCGAAUUCAAAGGCGUCCGAUCGAUUACAGGGCAGCAAGCCUCCGUUCGGAGGCGUGACGAGGAGAACGACAUGCGAUUCGCCGUAUUGGUCAAGGCCACGAAGGAGUCCGAAGCGGGCGUGCUGCCGAGCACGGAAAUGCUGACGCAGAUGGGCAAGUUCAACGAGGAGCUCGUCAAGGCCGGGGUGAUGCUCGCCGGCGAGGGGCUGCACGCGAGCUCGAAGGGCUCGCGCGUCCGCUUUUCGGGCGGCAAGCCCACGGUGAUCGACGGGCCGUUCGCCGAAACGAAGGAGCUCGUCGCGGGCUUCUGGAUCUGGAAAGUCAAGUCAAAGCAGGAAGCGGUCGACUGGCUGAAGCGCGCGCCGUUCGAGAACGAGGAGGUCGAGCUGCGGCAGAUCUUCGAGGCGGAGGACUUUGGCGCCGAUUUCACGCCGGAGUUGCGCGCACAGGAAGAGCGGCUGCGCGCGGAAGUCGCCGCCAAUCAAUAGCGUCGCAGCACCAAAUUCA
rnacentral:misc_RNA from 1 species